rnacentral:rRNA from 1 species
CCAGCAGCUGCGGUAAUUCCAGCUCCAAUAGCGUAUAUUAAAAUUGUUGCGGUUAAAACGCUCGUAGUUGGAUAUCAGCCAAAAAGCUUCGGUCCUCCCCAGUGGAGAAUACGCGGAACAAUUCUUGGCACUUGUUCAGGGAAGGUGUUUGCACUUUGUUGUGCGUCACAUGAUCUGAAUUUUUACUUUGAGGAAAUGAGAGUGUUUCAAGCAGGCUUUUGCCGUGAAUAUGAUAGCAUGGAAUAAUAGCACAGGAUCUCUUUCCAAAGCUGUUGGUUUUUGGAACGAGGUAAUCAUGAUAAGGACAGUUGGGGGUAUUCGUAUUUAACUGUCAGAGGUGAAAUUCUUGGAUUUUUUAAAGACGAACUAUUGCGAAGGCAUCUGCCCAGGAUGUUUUUGUUGAUCAAGAACGAAAGU